UCUUCGAUGGUCUAGUGGUCAUGAUUUCCGCUUGUCAAUCCAAUUCCUUCUGGAUAACAAGCGCGGGAGACCGGGGUUCGAUUCCCCGUCGGAGAG